rnacentral:misc_RNA from 1 species
AACAACCUUGCUGCUCUCCAGGGCUG